AGGAUACAGUGACAGGUGGCUAUGGUACCACUUUACAUUCGUACAUCACAUCGCGCUGUGCUUCAAGUUGACUAGAUCCCCAAACAAGCAUAGCAGAUUAUCAUCGGAAACAUAUCGAGCGAAGGGUAUCAACUGCCAUCCCACGCUUGUUGUUGGCUAUAACUGCGCUGAGGAAAUCUCCUCAGCAGUGGCACAAAGGAGGCUGCUAAGUUUGGUCUGCCUGCUGUUAUUUCACUAACGCGUUUCUCCUUCGUUCUGGGUUCAAAUCCGGACAACCACUCCCGGUAUUUAUAGAGACGGUAUCCAGGCCAGGAUAUCUCACAAAGACAACUUUUACAGACAAAUCAUGGAUGCAAGCGCUUACAUUUUGUUAGCCUUACUUACAUUCUGUGGACUUGGAUGCGGUAUUUCAGAUUUGGGUGCUGCUGACGACACAGAAGGACUGAACGAAGAUUCGUUUGAAUCAAAGGAUUUUCCACUGCCAUCAGACUUAAAACGAGAAUGGAAAACAAUGUUUCCGGAUCAGAAGUACCGACAUGUUGGAAUAGGAAAACGGACUCUGGACUUCUUUCGCUUUCACAGUAAAAUCGGGAAACGUCUGGAUCUCCUUACCCUAAUUAAAAGCAAUCUACAUCAAUCAGGUGACAUUCUCAGGAAGAGCUACAGACCAAACCCAAAUGAAAGAUCGGCCUAUAGAUUUGGGUCACCCAUUGCGCCCGUAAGGAGGUCACUCCGGACCCGGAACUACGGUCUGCGCAUGGCUAAUAGUCGAAUGCCAGGUGUCUACCGAGGCGCACGGUCACAAGUUGAUCCAAUGAUGCUUCUGUUGGGAUUAGGGAAAUAGAAAUCGGAUCUCAGAAACAGUCAGUUUGACGAGUUAUUGAAGUAUCGUGUUCUCCAAGAACGUUCGAACAUUGGAAUGUCUACGGUACUGGUUAACCUGCGAGUCGGAUAUUAUAUAUUACAUAUUAUUACAUGUAUAAUCCUGUGUAUAAAACAUGCCCAAUCACGAGUUUGUUUAACUGAACUUAAGAAGGAAAUAUCUUGUCAAUUUGAUUUCGUAAUCACUCACUUCUUGAAAACUAAUGACAUCAUGAAUCUGCGUUAUAGGAGUAGGAAUGGUUUCGUUGCCAAAGAAACCGUCAAAUACUAUGUUUGCUCUACGUAC